UGACCGCUGGCGGCGUGCCUACUACAUGCACGUCGAGCGAACAGACGAGGAGCUUGCUCCUCUGACGUUAGCGGCGGACGGGUGAGUAACACGUGGAUAACCUACCUAUAAGACUGGGAUAACUUCGGGAAACCGGAGCUAAUACCGGAUAAUAUAUUGAACCGCAUGGUUCCAUAGUGAAAGACGGUUUUGCUGUCACUUAUAGAUGGAUCCGCGCCGCAUUAGCUAGUUGGUAAGGUAACGGCUUACCAAGGCAACGAUGCGUAGCCGACCUGAGAGGGUGAUCGGCCACACUGGAACUGAGACACGGUCCAGACUCCUACGGGAGGCAGCAGUAGGGAAUCUUCCGCAAUGGGCGAAAGCCUGACGGAGCAACGCCGCGUGAGUGAUGAAGGUCUUCGGAUCGUAAAACUCUGUUAUUAGGGAAGAACAAAUGUGUAAGUAACUAUGCACGUCUUGACGGUACCUAAUCAGAAAGCCACGGCUAACUACGUG
rnacentral:rRNA from 1 species